rnacentral:rRNA from 1 species
UACGUAGGGGGCAAGCGUUGUCCGGAAUUAUUGGGCGUAAAGGGCUCGUAGGCGGUCUGUCACGUCGGGAGUGAAAACUCGGGGCUUAACCCCGAGCCUGCUUCCGAUACGGGCAGACUAGAGGUAUGCAGGGGAGAACGGAAUUCCUGGUGUAGCGGUGAAAUGCGCAGAUAUCAGGAGGAACACCGGUGGCGAAGGCGGUUCUCUGGGCAUUACCUGACGCUGAGGAGCGAAAGUGUGGGGAGCGAACAGG